AUUGAACGCUGGCGGCAGGCCUAACACAUGCAAGUCGAGCGGAGCUGCCGACGGGUGAGUAAUUCAUAGGAAUCUACCUGGUCGUGGGGGAUAACGUACGGAAACGGGCGCUAAUACCGCAUACUCUCAGUUGAGCCUAGGUCGGAUUAGCUAGUUGGUGGGGUAAAGGCCUACCAAGGCGACGAUCCGUAACUGGUCUGAGAGGAUGAUCAGUCAAACUGGAACUGAGACACGGUCCAGACUCCUACGGGAGGCAGCAGUGGGGAAUAGUGGACAAUGGGCGAAAGCCUGAUCCAGCAAUGCCGCGUGGGUGAAGAAGGUCUUCGGAUUGUAAAGCACUUUAAGUUGGGAGGCGUUACCAACAGAAUAAGCACCGGCUAACUUCGUGCCAGCCGCCGCGGUAAUUC
rnacentral:rRNA from 1 species